rnacentral:rRNA from 1 species
GUAGGGAAUUUUCGGCAAUGGGGGCAACCCUGACCGAGCAACGCCGCGUGAGUGAUGAAAGUCUUCGGAUUGUAAAGCUCUGUUAUAAGGGAAGAAUGUCCUCGAUAGGAUCGAGGAGUGACGGUACCUUAUCAGAAAGCUACGGCUAACUACGUGCCAGCAGCCGCGGUAAUACGUAGGUAGCGAGCGUUAUCCGGAAUUAUUGGGCGUAAAGGGUGCGUAGGCUGUUUAUUAAGUCUGAAAUUAAAGCCUGUGGGUUAACCACAGUUCGUUUCGGUGACUGGUAGGCUGGAGUAUGGUAGAGGCAAAUGGAAUUCCUAGUGUAGCGGUGAAAUGCGUAGAUAUUAGGAGGAACAUCAGUGGCGAAGGCGGUUUGCUGGGCCAUAACUGACGCUGAGGCACGAAAGCGUGGGGAGCAAAUAGGAUUAGAAACCCGUGUAGUCC